rnacentral:rRNA from 1 species
GUUGUAUGGUUAAGUGACUAAGCGUACACGGUGGAUGCCUAGGCAAUCAGAGGCGAAGAAGGACGUGCUAAUCUGCGAAAAGCUUGGAUGAGUUGAUAAGAAGCGUUUAAUCCAAGAUAUCCGAAUGGGGAAACCCAGUAGAUGAAGAAUCUACUAUCAAUAGAUGAAUACAUAGUCUGUUGAGGCAAACCGGGAGAACUGAAACAUCUAAGUACCCCGAGGAAAAGAAAUCAACCGAGAUUUUGUCAGUAGCGGCGAGCGAAAGCGAAAGAGCCAGCAAGUGAUAGCAGCAAAGACAGAAGAAUUGGCUGGGAAGCCAAGCGACACAGGGUGAUAGCCCCGUAUUUUAAGUUUAUGUUGUGGUACUAAACUUGCAACAAGUAGGGCGGGACACGAGAAAUCCUGUUUGAAGAUGGGGGGACCAUCCUCCAAGGCUAAAUACUCCUGAUUGACCGAUAGUGAACCAGUACUGUGAAGGAAAGGCGAAAAGAACCCCAGUGAGGGGAGUGAAAUAGAACCUGAAACCGUGUACGUACAAGCAGUGGGAGCCCUUUUGGGUGACUGCGUACCUUUUGUAUAAUGGGUCAGCGACUUAUAUUUUGUAGCGAGGUUAACUGAAUAAGGGAGCCGAAGGGAAACCGAGUCUUAACUGGGCGGUGAGUUGCAAGGUAUAGACCCGAAACCCGGUGAUCUAGCCAUGGGCAGGUUGAAGGUUGGGUAACACUAACUGGAGGACCGAACCGACUAAUGUUGAAAAAUUAGCGGAUGACUUGUGGCUGGGGGUGAAAGGCCAAUCAAACCGGGAGAUAGCUGGUUCUCCCCGAAAUCUAUUUAGGUAGAGCCUUAUGUGAAUACCUUCGGGGGUAGAGCACUGUUUCGGCUAGGGGUUCAUCCCGGAUUACCAACCCGAUGCAAACUGCGAAUACCGAAGAGUAAUGCAUAGGAGACACACAGUGGGUGCUAACGUCCAUCGUGGAGAGGGAAACAACCCAGACCGCCAGCUAAGGUCCCAAAGUCUAUAUUAAGUGGGAAACGAAGUGGGAAGGCUUAGACAGCUAGGAUGUUGGCUUAGAAGCAGCCACCAUUUAAAGAAAGCGUAAUAGCUCACUAGUCGAGUCGGCCUGCGCGGAAGAUGUAACGGGGCUAAAAUAUAGCACCGAAGCUGCGGCAUCAGGCGUAUCACAAAUACGCCUUCGAUUAACAACAUCGAAUGAAGUGAAACGGAAUAAGAUGUUGGUCAAGCACCCAACACGUUGAGUUGGCAUAAAGUGCGGAUAGAAAUCAGAGGAAUAUUUGUGAUACGCCUGUUGGGUAGGGGAGCGUUGUGUAAGCGGAUGAAGGUGAAUCGAGAGGUUUGCUGGACGUAUCACAAGUGCGAAUGCUGACAUAAGUAACGAUAAAACGAGUGAAAAACUCGUUCGCCGGAAGACCAAGGGUUCCUGUCCAACGUUAAUCGGGGCAGGGUGAGUCGGCCCCUAAGGCGAGGCUGAAAAGCGUAGUCGAUGGGAAACGGGUUAAUAUUCCCGUACUUGGUAAAGCUGCGAUGUGGGGACGGAGAAGGUUAGGUUAGCAGACUGUUGGAUGUCUGUUUAAGUUGGUAGGUGGGAAGUUUAGGCAAAUCCGGACUUCCAUAACACUGAGAGAUGAUGACGAGUUUCUACGGAAAUGAAGUAACUGAUACCACGCUUCCAGGAAAAGCCACUAAGCGAAAGGCUUUACUAAACCGUACUGAAAACCGACACAGGUGGUCAGGUAGAGAAUACUCAGGCGCUUGAGAGAACUCGGGUGAAGGAACUAGGCAAAAUAGCACCGUAACUUCGGGAGAAGGUGCGCUGGCGUAGGUUGUAGGAGUAUACCUCCGAAGGCUGAACCAGUCGAAGAUACCAGCUGGCUGCAACUGUUUAUUAAAAACACAGCACUCUGCAAACACGAAAGUGGACGUAUAGGGUGUGAUGCCUGCCCGGUGCUGGAAGGUUAAUUGAUGGUGUUAUCGAAAGAGAAGCUCCUGAUCGAAGCCCCAGUAAACGGCGGCCGUAACUAUAACGGUCCUAAGGUAGCGAAAUUCCUUGUCGGGUAAGUUCCGACCUGCACGAAUGGCAUAAUGAUGGCCAGGCUGUCUCCACCCGAGACUCAGUGAAAUUGAAAUCGCCGUGAAGAUGCGGUGUACCCGCGGCUAGACG